GUCAAAUUUUGAUAUCUACAAUUAACUAAGUCUAAUGUUAUUCAAAAAUUCUACCUUGCUCCUCAAUAAUAUAAAGACCUGCAAAGAAUUUCCAGUAGAACUCUCCCUCUAUCUUCCAUAUUAUUAGGUAAUAUUGUAAUUCCCUUAAACUUCUCCAAGUUAGUAAUCCUCACAGUCAAUAUUUAUUCAGAUUUCCCGAUUGCUUUAUUAAUUCCUUUGCUCACCCUUGUUCCUUAUAUCACACUUCAUUACUAGUUCAAUUUCUUUUUACCAAAGUGCAUCAUUUUGGUAUAUUUCAGCAAGGUCUGUGAAUACUAAAUGCAUGGACUUGCAUUCUAAGAAUAUCUUGGUUUCUCUCUCACCCUCGAGUGAUAAUUUAGCUGGACUAGAAUCUUCAUAUUGACAGCUUUCUUUCCUCAGUGUUUCAAGGUACUCUCUACCUUCUCCACCAACUACUGUACUAAUGAGAAACACAUUCCCAGUCUGGUUUCUGUCCUCAGUUGGCUAUCUUUUUCUCAUGCAGCUUUUACAUUUUUAUUUGACUUGUUCUUACAUAUUACAAACCACAUGUGUGGAUUUACUGUUAUUUCUCAUUAUUGAGGCUGAUGCAACAAAAAGAUUCAUGUCCCAUUUCAAUUUUUGAAAAGUCUUGACUAUUGUCAUUUGAAUAGUGACUCCUUUUCAUUGUUCUUUUUCUUCUUUGCUUCCUGAAUAUGCUGUCCCUUUUCAAUCCACCCUGUCUCUUAAC
rnacentral:lncRNA from 1 species